ensembl:lncRNA
UACGUUUGCUUGCAUGCCCCCCGCCCCCCAGCACUGCACCUCGCUUACCCCAGCUCCGACAAUGGGGGAGCUGGUGCUCUGGGCUCCUGGAUACGAGGUGCCAUUGAUUUUUCCUUUCUCUUCUUCCCUAUAGGAUAUGCUUUGCUUUCUCAAGCAAAAAUGGGCCGCUCACAGAGGGCAUAUUCAGAAAAUCGGCCAAUAUGAAAUUAUGCAGAGCCUAAAGGAGACAUUAAAUGCUGGGGACAAAGUGAACCUGGACUGUGAAUCUGUUCUUGUGGUCGCAUGUGUCUUAAAGGCUUUUGGAUGAGCUGCCCAGAGCCAAUGCAGAGCUCCUGCGCUAUCUUUUUGGAGUGCUGCACAACAUUCAGCAGCAUUCUUCUGUCAAUCAGAUGACAGCUUACAACUUAGCCACCUGCAUAGCCCCAAGCAUUCUUUGUUUGCCCAAUGCCUGCAGCGCAGAAUUAGAAAGUGACAUCACAAGAAAGGUAAUGAAAGCUCUCAUUUGCGUGCCCUAGGGGUCAGAGUCCCCACUUGGAACCCAAAAUGGACGGUGUUAACUCUGACAGACCAGUUUUUGAAAGUGUAUCCGUUGAGUGGCAGAGUCAUUUAUCCUCCUCUGUGGGGAUGAGAAGGAGGGUUGUUAAGGGGGAACUGUGAGCAGUUGAGUCUCUCCUCCCUUUCUGUCCAUGAGACUAAACUCUGGACCGACUGAACAGCAGAGAGAGGAGUGGCCCGAUAUGACAGAAAAGAACCUGGGCUUUGGAGUGUGACAAGCCAAGGUUCAACUCUCAGCCUAAUCACUGAGGGAUGUGUAACCCUGGGCAAAGUUUCCAAGCCAUGGUUUCUUCAUCACACAAUGGCGACAACACCCAGAUCCUCUGGUCAUUACUGGCACAUCCUAGGCAGCUUGGGCAAUAUGAGCACCCAUGGCUCCACACACUUUGGCCUUCCUCUGCAAGCUGUGGCUCAUUCAGAAAAAUACUUGGCUACUAUUUUGCCUCUGAAAUAGGGUGAGGAAACUAGUAAAAGAUUCCAGAACAUCCUAUCAGAGCUACAACAUGCCCAAUAAGAUCAUAGCUGUUUCCCAAGAGAGUUUCCCAGAAAGUAAGGGUGGGGCAGGCAAUGCAAGAAGAGGGGCUGCAGCCAGACAAACUGAAUGGUGUCUCUCCAGCUGCUUUCUUCCCUCACAAAGACACACAGAAAUCUCUGCUGCCCAAGUUUAAGCAGCACCUAAACUUACAAAUGAAUUUCACGUAUCCGUGUCUAUUGGGUGCUUUAUAAAUUUUCCUAAGAUGUGAUAUGUCUAUUAUAUCUCAACAAAACUGGAAAAAAUGUUUAAUGAAAAUGAAUAGAUAAAAUUUCAUAAGAGACUAUACAUCUUCCCCCAAACAUCCUAUGUGGGUUACAUUUGAAAAUUGCCUUUGUUUUCAAGAUGUAACCAUUGAUAUAAAAAUGUUAGCUUUUAAACUAGACCACAAAUUAUGCCUUUAGUCCACUGAUGAAAAGUAUUUUAAAACCUGUGCCCAAAGUACUCACGAAAGUAUCACAGUUCGUUCUUAGAGAAAACUGGUUCUCUGAAUUUUUCUUAGUAUUCUUUCACAAUUUUUGUUAGAGCCAAGAUUCAUGUAUGAAAUGUGAU